AAGCUUUGUUUAUCGCUUUGGUAAGAAGAUGAUGACUUUAUUUCGGGAAAUCAUGGAAAACUGGUAUGAUCUGCACCACCUCCCUAGGCCAGGUCCAUUUCUGUUCAUUUAGCUGCUAAGUGUUGUCUACAGGCUGAAGAAUGAAUAAAACUGGCAUUACAUCACCCAGAAUUAUCAAAAUAGAUCGAUGCAUCAGUUUCUCCACUAGCUCCUCCCAAACAAUUUGAGCAAUUCAUUCAUUCAGGCAGCACAUGUUUUCACCAAUCAAGUAAAAAGAAUUGAUUUCAUCCAAAGGAACAUUCGUGAACGGAAUAAUUUUGCACCUGCUCAGAAUUAC